rnacentral:rRNA from 1 species
UACGUAGGGUACAAGCAUUAAUCGGAAUGAUUGGGCGUAAAGGGCGCGUAGGCGGCCUGGUAAGUCAGAUGUGAAAUUCCAAAGCUCAACUUUGGAGCUGCAUUUGAAACUACUAGGCUAAAGAGGUAAGACGGAGAAAGCGGAAUUCCACGUGUAGCGGUGAAAUGCGUAGAUAUGUGGAGGAACACCUGUGGCGAAAGCGGCUUUCUAGUUUUAACCUGACGCUGAGGCGCGAGAGCAAGGGGAGCAAACAGG